rnacentral:rRNA from 1 species
AGUGGAUGGGGAGCAACCUAGUUGUGCGUGUGUAAAGGUAGUGCCAAGAAAAGCGAUGAUCAUGUUGAAAAUCAAUUCCCGGUACCCGAAACCGACACAGGUGGGCAAGUAGAGAAUACUAAGGGGCGCGAGGUAACUCUCUCCAAGGAACUCGGCAAAAUGACCCCGUAACUUAGGGAGAAGGGGUGCCACCGAGAGGUGGUCGCAGUGAAGAGGCCCAGGCGACUGUUUAGCAAAAACAUAGGUCUCUGCAAACUCGAAAGAGGAGGUAUAGGGGCUGACGCCUGCCCAGUGCCGGAAGGUUAAAGAAGUUGGUCAGUUUUAGGAUGAAGCUAGCGACUGAAGCCCCGGUGAACGGCGGCCGUAACUAUAACGGUCCUAAGGUAGCGAAAUUCCUUGUCGGAUAAGUUCCGACCCGCACGAAAGGCGUAACGAUCUGGGCGCUGUCUCGGAGAGAGGCUCGGCGAAAUAGGAUUGUCUGUGAAGAUACGGACUACCUGCAUUUGGACAGAAAGACCCUAUGAAGCUUUACUAUAGCUUGGAAUUGUGUUCGGGCUUCCUGUGCGCAGGAUAGGUGGGAGGCGUAGAAGGUAUUCUUGUGGGGAUACUGGAGCCAACGGUGAGAUACCACUCUCAGGAGGCUAGAAUUCUAACUUAAUUAAGGACAGUUUCAGGUGGGUAGUUUGACUGGGGCGGUCGCCUCCAAAAAGGUAACGGAGGCGUACAAAGGUUCCCUCAGACUGGUUGGAAAUCAGUCGAAGAGUGCAAAGGCAGAAGGGAGCUUGACUGCGAGAAGUACAGUUCGAGCAGGGUGGAAACACGGUCUUAGUGAUCCGACGGUGCUGUGUGGAAGGGCCGUCGCUCAACGGAUAAAAGUUACUCUAAGGAUAACAGGCUGAUCUCCCCCAAGAGUUCACAUCGACGGGGAGGUUUGGCACCUCGAUGUCGGCUCAUCGCAACCUGGGGCGGAAGUACGUCCCAAGGGUUGGGCUUCCGCCCAUUAAAGCGGUACGUGAGCUGGGUUCAGAACGUCGUGAGACAGUUCGGUCCAUAUCCGAUGUAGGCGUGAGAAUAUUGAGAGGAGCCUUCCUUAGUACGAGAGGACCGGGAAGGACGCACCGCUGGUGUACCUGUUAUGAUGCCAAUUGUAAACGCAGGGUAGCCAAGUGCGGAGAGGAUAACCGCUGAAAGCAUCUAAGUGGGAAGCCCACCUCAAGAUGAGUAUUCUGGUGUAAGGUCACGGGAAGACGACCCGUAAAUAGGCACGAGGUGGAAGUGCAGAGAUGUAUGAAGCCGAAGUGUACUAAUAGACCGUCGGCUUGAUC